CCGCCGGGGCGGACUUAUGGCAGUGUGGACAGUACUUACCCCUGCUGGGGCGGGCCAAUAUCGAAGGGAACCCCCGCUGGGGCGGGGUAUGCAGCAGCUGAAGGUUUUUCACUCGUGAGAAGGAUUUGGUGCAAGAAAUAAUUAAAGCAGCAAGCGCGAGUGGGUCGGCUGAAAUCCUUUUCCGACUUGGAUUGUGACGCAAGCUGAAGCUGAUAAAAAAGGGCUACUCACAUAUGGAUUAGACUGGACCAGAUAUAAAAUAGGAGACGGAGUAGCUUAAGGAGGGGACUUGAUACGAUGACAUGCACGUGACCUGAUAAAAAAGGACCUUAGGAGGGAUAUAAUUUAUAUUCAAUUAGGAUUGAACUUGGGCCUUUUUCGAGAAGGAGUCGGACGUGACCUGCUAGAGAAGGAGAGUUUCCUCCAGCAAGUAUAUAUAUAUAUGAGAUAGGCGGGAGCAGCUUGAAAAGAAGGAAAGGAAAUGAAUGGAGAACAACUUAUAUAUAUAUAUAUAUAUAUUAGUAUAGUAUUAGUGGGAUUAUUAUAUAAAGAUUAGUUUAGUUUAGUUUUCAAUAAAAUAAACAAGCCCUAGUUGAAAGGGGAUUUGGUGAUUGAAGCACUUGGAAGCCAUUGAAGAUCCAAAUGAAGUGCAAGGAGGACAAAUUUGCCGACAACAGAUUCAAUUCUUUUCUUUAAUCUUAUUCUUAUCUUUUAAUGUAUAUUCAAUUGUGGAUUCUUAGUUUUAAUUCAAUGAACUAAUUCUUUGGUUAAGA
rnacentral:lncRNA from 1 species